rnacentral:rRNA from 1 species
UGCCAGCCGCCGCGGUAAUACGGAGGGUGCAAACGUUGUUCGGAAUCACUGGGCAUAAAGAGCAUGUAGGCUGUCUAGUCAGUCGGAUGUGAAAGCCCCCGGCUCAACCGGGGAACUGCAUCCGAUACUGCUAGACUUGAGGAUGGUUGGGGUGAGUGGAACUCCUGGUGGAGCGGUGAAAUGCGUAGAUAUCAGGAGGAACACCGGUGGCGAAGGCGACUCACUGGACCAUAUCUGACGCUGAGAUGCGAAAGCUAGGGGAGCGAACGGGAUUAGAUA